UAGCUCAGUCGGUUGAGCAUGAUGCUGACAACACCAAGGCUGUGGGUUCGAUUCCUGU
rnacentral:tRNA from 1 species